rnacentral:rRNA from 1 species
UACGAAGGGGGCUAGCGUUGCUCGGAAUCACUGGGCGUAAAGCGCACGUAGGCGGGUCGUUAAGUCGGGGGUGAAAUCCUGGAGCUCAACUCCAGAACUGCCUUCGAUACUGGCGAUCUUGAGUCUGGGAGAGGUGAGUGGAACUCCGAGUGUAGAGGUGAAGUUCGUAGAUAUUCGCAAGAACACCAGUGGCGAAGGCGGCUCACUGGCCCGAUACUGACGCUGAGGUGCGAAAGCGUGGGGAGCAAACAGG